rnacentral:rRNA from 1 species
ACUCCUACGGGAGGCAGCAGUGAGGAAUAUUGGUCAAUGGGCGGAAGCCUGAACCAGCCAUGCCGCGUGCGGGAUGAAGGCCCUACGGGUUGUAAACCGCUUUUCCCCGGGAAGAAUAAGCCCCCCGCGGGGGGUGAUGCCGGUACCGGGGGAGUAAGGAUCGGCUAACUCCGUGCCAGCAGCCGCGGUAAUACGGAGGAUCCGAGCGUUAUCCGGAUUUACUGGGUUUAAAGGGUGCGUAGGCGGCCCUGCAAGUCAGCGGUGAAAUGUGGCGGCUCAACCGUUUCGCUGCCGUUGAUACUGUGGGGCUUGGAUGCGGUCGAGGCGGGUGGAAUUCGUGGUGUAGCGGUGAAAUGCAUAGAUAUCACGAGGAACGCCGAUAGCGAAGGCAGCUCGCCGGGCCGCGAUCGACGCUGAGGCACGAAAGCGUGGGGAUCAAACAGGAUUAGAUACCCUGGUAGUC